GCUCAGAGUGAACGCUGGCGGCAGGCCUAACACAUGCAAGUCGAACGGCAGCGGGUAGGAAGCUUGCUUCCUAUGCCGGCGAGUGGCGGACGGGUGAGGAGCGCAUCGGAAUCUACUCCGUCGUGGGGGAUAACGUAGGGAAACUUACGCUAAUACCGCAUACGACCUAAGGGUGAAAGUGGGGGACCGCAAGGCCUCACGCGAUGGAAUGAGCCGAUGUCCGAUUAGCUAGUUGGUGGGGUAAAGGCCUACCAAGGCGACGAUCCGUAGCUGGUCUGAGAGGACGACCAGCCACACUGGGACUGAGACACGGCCCAGACUCCUACGGGAGGCAGCAGUGGGGAAUAUUGGACAAUGGGCGAAAGCCUGAUCCAGCCAUGCCGCGUGGGUGAAGAAGGCCUUCGGGUUGUAAAGCCCUUUUGUUGGGGAAGAAAUCCUGCUGGCUAGUACCCGGCGGGGAUGACGG
rnacentral:rRNA from 1 species